UUGGAGGGCAAGUCUGGUGCCAGCAGCCGCGGUAAUUCCAGCUCCAAUAGCGUAUAUUAAAGUUGUUGCAGUUAAAAAGCUCGUAGUUGAAUUUCGGGACUAAUUUGUUGGUCGUGCCUCGGUACGUACUGGUAUUAUUGGUUUCUCCCUUCUGAAGAACCUUGAUGUCAUUAAUUUGGUGUCUUGGGGAAUCAGGACUGUUACUUUGAAAAAAUUAGAGUGUUUAAAGCAAGCAUACGCUUGAAUACAUUAGCAUGGAAUAAUGAAAUAGGACGUUUGGUUCUAUUUUGUUGGUUUCUAGGAUCGACGUAAUGAUUAAUAGGGAUAGUUGGGGGCAUUAGUAUUCAAUUGUCAGAGGUGAAAUUCUUGGAUUUAUUGAAGACUAACUACUGCGAAAGCAUUUGCCAAGGAUGUUUUCAUUAAUCAAGAACGAAAGCUAGGGGAUCGAAGACGAUCAGAUACCGUCGUAGUCUUAACCAUAAACUAUGCCGACUAGGGAUCGGAUGAUGUUAAUUUUUUAAUGACUCAUUCGGCGCCUUACGGGAAAC
rnacentral:rRNA from 1 species